rnacentral:lncRNA from 1 species
CUAAUGUCUUAAUAUCUUUUGUUUGCUCUUUGAUAAAUACAUUAAAUUUUCCUUCCUUCUUACCAUCCCCCAAACACAUACACAUUUACAUGUGUGUAUGUAUAUCAGUAAACACACUGACCUUGGAAGCCAAAGCAAUACGUAUUAAUAUUGCUGAAGAUGAGCAGUAUCUGGAAAACUGAGGGCUCUUGCCUUCUGUAGAUGUCUUAGAAAGGGAAUUCAGGAAAGAUUCUGAUUUUCUGGAGUCAUUAUAAAUGAGGACAGUAACGACCACUUAUGAGGAAUCUGACAACUAUGCAAGUGAAUGAACACAAUAAAGGGUUUCUUUCCAGCAAUGCAAGAUGAACAGGAUACCUGAUUCUGGCCGACAGUAUCUCUUGGCAAUGGGAUUCCUGAAUCAUUCAACAACUGCUACAUCUUUGUUAUCUGAGUGGCACUCAUCAUC